AACAGAGACAGACGUAAUUGUAUGUAUAGCAGUAGAUAUUAAACAGAUACAGAGGUAGUGUGAUAUAUAACAGUAGAUAUCAAGCUGAGACAGCAGUAAUGGGAUGAAUAGCAGUAGAUAUCAAACAGAGACAGAAGUAAUGGGAUGAAUAACAGUAGAUAUUAAACAGAGUCAGAAGUAAUGGGAUGAAUAGCAGUUGAUAUCAAACAGAGACAGAAGUAAUGGGAUGAAUAACAGUAGAUAUUAAACAGAUACAGAAGUAAUGGGAUGAAUAGCAGUAGAUAUCAAACAGAGACAGAAGUAAUGGGAUGAAUAACAGGAGAUAUUAAACAGAGACAUAAGUAAU
rnacentral:lncRNA from 1 species